GAGAAAGUUUGAUUAUUCAUUGACUUUUAAUCAGUAGGUCCAGGGUUCGAAUCCCUGCGCGCUCACCA
rnacentral:tRNA from 1 species